AUGAAGAUCAAAACUGGAUUUGUUUAUUGUUUAUGCUUCGAGAGGAAUUACAGCUGUGGACCAGUAGAUGAAUUGCCAUGGAGGCUUGGCAGAAACAGCGGUUCCCUUGGCAGUGGCUGCGAGGGGUGUGGCUUGCUGAAGAAAUGGGCUUUUUUUGUAGCUCCAGGUAUACAGGCUCAUAAGCAAGAUGAUUUUCAUUUAUUUAUUUUUGGUUUGAUGCUUCAUUCGCCCCCCAAGCCAACUAAUACAUAUGAACAAAAGGAGUAUAGAACCAAAUUAUAUGAUGUAAUUGACUACUAUUUCUAUUAA
rnacentral:rRNA from 1 species